rfam:Schistosoma curassoni strain Dakar, Senegal genome assembly, scaffold: SCTD_scaffold0003144
AGAUUUCUGAAUCCGUACCGAGAUUUCAUCAGAUACCAGACUAUUAAGACUGAUGAGACUCCCAAGAUAAGUAAAACG